rfam:Salmo salar isolate Sally breed double haploid chromosome ssa24, whole genome shotgun sequence.
UGCAUUCACUACUGUAAGUCGCUCUGGAUAAGAGCGUCUGCUAAAUGACUCAAA